rnacentral:rRNA from 1 species
CAGCCGCCACGGUAAUACGAAGGGGGCUAGCGUUGUUCGGAAUUACUGGGCGUAAAGCGCACGUAGGCGGACAUUUAAGUCAGGGGUGAAAUCCCGGGGCUCAACCCCGGAACUGCCUUUGAUACUGGGUGUCUAGAGUAUGGAAGAGGUGAGUGGAAUUCCGAGUGUAGAGGUGAAAUUCGUAGAUAUUCGGAGGAACACCAGUGGCGAAGGCGGCUCACUGGUCCAUUACUGACGCUGAGGUGCGAAAGCGUGGGGAGCAAACAGGAUUAGAUACCCCUGUAGUCCCUGUCUCUUAUAC